GGAAAUAGUCAUUCGGCUACAAGCUACACUGUGCUCUAUGAGAAUGAAUCUAACUAAUUCAUGUCAGCUGCUCAAAAUGAAAGGUGUCGAGACACAGUAUUUGAUGUUGCAUUAUACGUGGAAUACUAUGGUUUUGUCGGAGCUAUUUCACAGUGUAAGAGAGAAGCCACUAUGUUCUCUUUGGGCCAAGAAAGACUAUAUCAAAAACGUUGACCAGUCAACACUGAGUUAUUUUAACGUACUUUGCGACGAACCAGAGUAUACCGGCUAUCGACAAGGUUGUCCGUCACCUGCCAAAUAAAUAUCCUAGUCUGCCGCAAAUAUUAGAUAUUCCAAGUGCCCUACUUUGAAAAAUAAAAUUUGUUCUUUUAUA